UGAGCAAUCUGCCCUUCUCAUCGGAAUAAGCGUUGGAAACGACGUCUAAUGCCGAAUACGACCUCCUUUCGCAUGAUCGGAGGUGGAAAGCUCCGGCGGAGAAGGAUGGGCUCGCGGCCUAUCAGCUAGUUGGUGUGGGUAAUGGCCCACCAAGGCGACGACGGGUAGCCGGCCUGAGAGGGUGACCGGCCAUACUGGGACUGAGACACGGCCCAGACUCCUACGAGAGCAG
rnacentral:rRNA from 1 species